rnacentral:lncRNA from 1 species
AUGAUGGUAUACUGCCCUCCAGUACUGGGGAUCAAACCCAGGGCCUCCUACUUUACCUGCAUUUUAAAAGCUGGGAACUGCUACUGCGAGAAUGAAGACGCUUUCUCAUGGCCCCUGGGGCACAGCAAGCACUUGCCUCCUGGUCACCCCCCAGGGUCUGAAGGGCUGUGCUGUGUUCUCCUGGAGGCCCCACCUGCUCUGAGGAAUGGCUCCUCAGUCCCUGCCACACCCUUGGGUGGAAGCCGCGGGGUUUGCAGGCACAGGGCCAUGCAGCACUGAACACGGGUGUUCUGUGGGCUCAGAGGAAGCCCUGUCACAGCUCAGGCCAACCAUGUCACCAAACUUUUUCUCUGAAGGGCCAGAUAGUAAAUAUCUUAGGUUUUACAGCCCACAGAGCCUCUUUGCCAACUACUGGACUCUACCGUUUCAACACAAAAGCAGCUACAGACAUAAAUGAAUAAACUUGGCUGUGUUCUGAUAAAAUCUUAUUUAUGGAUACUGAAAUCUGAAUUUGCUAAAAUUUGGCAGAGGUACUUGGUAUUGUACCCAAGGCCUUCACACUGAACUACAUCCCCAGCCCUUUACUGUGAGACGAGGCCUUGCUACAUUGUCCAAGCUGGGCUCAAACUCUAGGUCCUCCUGCCUCAGCCUCUCAGCAUGCAGAGAUUACAAGUGUGAGCCAC